CGGUGCAGAUCUUGGUGGUA
rnacentral:siRNA from 1 species